rnacentral:rRNA from 1 species
AACGAACGCUGGCGGCAGGCUUAACACAUGCAAGUCGAACGCGUGUAGCAAUACACGAGUGGCGCACGGGUGAGUAACGCGUGGAUAUCUGCCUUUUGGUUCGGAAUAACUCCGGGAAACUGGAGCUAAUACCGGAUGGUUCCUACGGGAUAAAGAUUUAUCGCCAAAAGAUGAGUCCGCGUACGAUUAGCUAGUUGGUGAGGUAAUGGCUCACCAAGGCGACGAUCGUUAGCUGGUCUGAGAGGACGAUCAGCCACACUGGGACUGAGACACGGCCCAGACUCCUACGGGAGGCAGCAGUGGGAAUAUUGGACAAUGGGGCAACCCUGAUCCAGCCAUGCCGCGUGAGUGAUGAAGGCCUGGUGUAAGCUCUUU